rnacentral:rRNA from 1 species
AGUGAGGAAUAUUGCACAAUGGGGGAAACCCUGAUGCAGCAACGCCGCGUGGAGGAUGACGCAUUUCGGUGUGUAAACUCCUUUUAUAUGUCAAGAAAAUGACGGUAGCAUAUGAAUAAGCACCGGCUAACUCCGUGCCAGCAGCCGCGGUAAUACGGAGGGUGCAAGCGUUACUCGGAAUCACUGGGCGUAAAGGACGCGUAGGCGGGUUGGAAAGUCAGAUGUGAAAUCCUACAGCUUAACUGUAGAACUGCAUUUGAAACUUCUAAUCUAGAGUAUGGGAGGGGGAGAUGGAAUUAGUGGUGUAGGGGUAAAAUCCGUAGAUAUCACUAGGAAUACCGAAAGCGAAGGCGAUCUCCUGGAACAUAACUGACGCUAAGGCGUGAAAGCGUGGGGAGCAAACAGGAUUAGAUACCCUGGUAGUCCACGCCCUAAACGAUGAACACUAGUCGUCGGGAUGCUAGUCAUCUCGGUGAUGCACUUAACAGAUUAAGUGUUCCGCCUGGGGAGUACGGUCGCAAGAUUAAAACUCAAAGGAAUAGACGGGGACCCGCACAAGUGGUGGAGCAUGUGGUUUAAUUCGAAGAUACGCGAAGAACCUUACCUAGCCUUGACAUUGAUUGAACACACUAGAGAUAGAGUGGUGCCCUUCGGGGAACAUGAAAACAGGUGCUGCACGGCUGUCGUCAGCUCGUGUCGUGAGAUGUUGGGUUAAGUCCCGCAACGAGCGCAACCCUCGUCCUUAGUUGCUAGCAGUUCGGCUGAGCACUCUAAGGAGACUGCCUUCGUAAGGAGGAGGAAGGUGAGGACGACGUCAAGUCAUCAUGGCCCUUAUGGCUAGGGAUACACACGUGCUACAAUGGGGCGUACAGAGUGUUGCGAUACCGCGAGGUGGAGCUAAUCACUUAAAGCGUCUCUCAGUUCGGAUUGGAGUCUGCAACUCGACUCCAUGAAGCUGGAAUCACUAGUAAUCGUAGAUCAGCAAUGCUACGGUGAAUACGU